UGGGGAAUUUUGGACAAUGGCGAAAGCCUGAUCCAGCAAUGCCGCGUGUGUGAAGAAGGCCUUCGGGUUGUAAAGCACUUUUGUCCGGAAAGAAAGUCCUUGGCUCUAAUACAGUCGGGGGAUGACGGUACCGGAAGAAUAAGCACCGGCUAACUACGUGCCAGCAGCCGCGGUAAUAGCGUAGGGUGCAAGCGUUAAUCGGAAUUACUGGGCGUAAAGCGUGCGCAGGCGGUUUUGCUAAGACCGAUGUGAAAUCCCCGGGCUCAACUGGGAACUGCAUUGGUGAACUGGCAGGCUAGAGUAUGGCAGAGGGGGGUAGAAUUCCACGUGUAGCAGUGAAAUGCGUAGAGAUGUGGAGGAAUACCGAUGGCGAAGGCAGCCCCCUGGGCAAUACUGACGCUCAUGCACGAAAAGCGUGGGGAGCAAACAGGAUUAGAUACCCUGGUAGUCCACGCCCUAAAACGAUGUCAACUAGUUGUUGGGGAUUCAUUUCCUUAGUAACGUAGCUAACGCGUGAAGUUGACCGCCUGGGGA
rnacentral:rRNA from 1 species